UUUUUUUUUUUAAUUUUAUUUUAAGAUUCAAUAUUUUGUUAGAUAUAUGGUUUGGAUGUGAAAGUGUGUUUAAUACCUGAAUAAAAUCAGAAAAUAUGGAAAAUUUGAUAAAUAAAGAAAACAAAUCAGAUAUGUUCAUUUCAAUAAAUCACAAUCAACCAAAAAUACUUCAAUCACGUUCAAAAAAGUAUUCGGAUAUACUUGUUCCCAAAACUUGAAAAUUAAAAUUAUCGUAUCCAGUCGGGUAUUUAUUUAUAUUAGCUUUGGUUCAACUAUUUUUAUUAUCUCUAGACAAGACUAAGAGCAGCCCAAUAUAUUGGGCCCUGCAGGACCCACACCACACCAGAUAUUUUAUUUUUGUUGCGCAAGAUAUCAUGCGCUACUCCCUAUACUUUAUUAUUUUCUAUUUCUGUGGAAGUUUCUGGAAACACUCUUACAGACCCCCUAUAUAGCGUCAUAUUCCAUACGUAGCAUUUUCCUUCCCUUUUUUUUUUUUACCAAAUCGAAACCCUAAAAAUGGCGGCGAUCUCUUCCGCGUGUGUGCGUAGUGCAUCGACCACGAAGGUGCUCUACCAGAAUCCAUGUAAACACAUGACCUUGUGUAUGGACUGUGGGAGAAGGUGCUCUACCAGAAUCCAUGUAAACACAUGACCUUGUGUAUGGACUGUGGGAGAACUAUGGUGGUUGAAAAGGAGACCUGCGACGAGUGCAAAACCGUUUUCAGUCGAUUGAUUCAGGUUUUGCUUUUUUGUUUUUGUUUUUUUUU
rnacentral:lncRNA from 1 species